rnacentral:misc_RNA from 1 species
AACGCACAUUGCGCCCGCCAGUAUUCUGGCGGGCAUGCCUGUCCGAGCGUCAUUUCAACCCUCGAACCCCCCCCGGGGGAUCGGUGUUGGGGACCGGCCUCCGCCCUCGCUGGCGGUCGCCGCCCCCGAAAUAUAGUGGCGGUCUCGCCGCAGCCUCCUCUGCGCAGUAGUUUGCACACUCGCAUCGGAGAGCGGCGCGUCCAAGCCGUAAACCACCCAAAUUUAUAAAGGUUGACCUCGGAUCAGGUAGGAAUACCCGCUGAACUUAA